GGCGAGUGGCGAACGGGUGAGUAAUACAUCGGAACGUGUCCUGGAGUGGGGGAUAGCCCGGCGAAAGCCGGAUUAAUACCGCAUACGCUCUGUGGAGGAAAGCGGGGGAUCUUUCGGGACCUCGCGCUCAAGGGGCGGCCGAUGGCAGAUUAGGUAGUUGGUGGGGUAAAGGCCUACCAAGCCGACGAUCUGUAGCUGGUCUGAGAGGACGACCAGCCACACUGGGACUGAGACACGGCCCAGACUCCUACGGGAGGCAGCAGUGGGGAAUUUUGGACAAUGGGCGCAAGCCUGAUCCAGCAAUGCCGCGUGUGUGAAGAAGGCCUUCGGGUUGUAAAGCACUUUUGUCCGGAAAGAAAACCUCUGGGUUAAUACCCUGGGGGGAUGACGGUACCGGAAGAAUAAGCACCGGCUAACUACGUGCCAGCAGCCGCGGUAAUACGUAGGGUGCGAGCGUUAAUCGGAAUUACUGGGCGUAAAGCGUGCGCAGGCGGUGAUGUAAGACCGAUGUGAAAUCCCCGGGCUUAACCUGGGAACUGCAUUGGUGACUGCAUCGCUCGAGUAUGGCAGAGGGGGGUAGAAUCCACGUGUAGCAGUGAAAUGCGUAGAGAUGUGGAGGAAUACCGAUGGCGAAGGCAGCCC
rnacentral:rRNA from 1 species